rnacentral:rRNA from 1 species
GAUGAACGCUGGCGGUGUGCCUAACACAUGCAAGUCGAACGAACAGACAAGGAGAUUUCUCCUUUGCCGUUAGCGACUGGCGGGCGAGUGAGACGUGGAUAACAAUCUUAUAAUUCUUGGGGAAUUACGUGAAAACGCUGACACUAAUAGCGAAUACAUCCAACGGCAUGGAUCAAUAGAGAAACACAGCUUUGCCGACUCAUAUAGCUGAAGUCGUGCCGCAUUAGCUAGUUGGUAAGGUAACGGCUUACCAAGGCAACGAUGCGUAGCCGACCUGAGAGGGUGAUCAGCCACACUGGAACUGAGACACGGUCCAGACUCCUACGGGAGGCAGCAGUAGGGAAUCUUCCGCAAUGGGCGCAAGCCUGACCGAGCAACGCCGCGUGAGUGAUGAAGGUCUUCGGAUCGUAAAGCUCUGUUAUUGGGGAAGAACAGAUGUAUAAGUAUCUAUGCACGUCUUGACGGUACCUAAUCAGAAAGCCACGGCUAACUACGUG